CAUAUGUCUCCAUAACUUCCAAAUGUUUCAGUCGAUCUUCGGUCCUAAUAUAAAAAGGGACCAUCUCCCCUCAUAGACUCACCACUUGCAUAUGCACAAAAAGAAGAAGAAAAAGUUCAUUACAAAAUAUACAAAAAAAUCUUCCGAAAAGAUGGCAAUUAGGGUUUCCUGCAAAUCCAUCCUUCUCCUUCUUCUUCUUCUUCUUCUUCUCAUCCUCUUCCUCUCUUCUCCUACUAAAGCAAGAAGUUUGCGAGAAACCUACGAGAGUGGAAAAUCGACGGCGGAGAAGGGACGAGAGAGACGAUCGUUAGGGCACGGAGGAGGAGGAGGGAGCGACGGUGAUGGGUUGGUGGAUAUGGAUUACAAUACGGCUAACAAGAAAACUCCUAUCCAUAAUCGAAGACGAUAAAUACAUUUUUUUUCUGAUACGUUUUUUUGUUAGUUUUCUUUAUAAAAACAUUACAAAGAUAUAUAGAAAAAGGUAAAGGAUAUGAUCAGAACCAAUGUAUAAAUCUGACAAAUCUCUUUGUGUAAACAUUUCAUACACAUGGAAGAUCAUGUACGUAGUUAUACAUAUAUAUAUACACAUAUAUGCGUGUA